GUAGGCGGAGCGCAAGCUUCUGCUGUCAAUCAGCUGCCCCAGGGUGUGGGAGUGUGUGUGGAGAGUUGUUGGUGGAAUCAGUCAAGCUCGUGCUAAAGACAGCGAGGCAAGUCCGUAACAAUAUGAGCCUGGUUUCUCUGGCUGAGCGGGUAAAGCUCAAAAAGGCAAGGUAACGCAAGCGAGGGAUGCUGUGAGUAAUGAGGUUUUGUCGAAGGGAGUAUACCCUCUGACCGGGACUGAAAAACCUGGAGUUGCAGCCUGAUCAUUGAGUUGAGUGCAUAUCCUUGAAUGCAAAGUUUCUUACUGCAACAUUAAAAUGAUAGUUGCCAAUUCAGUCCAAGGUGCAGCAUGGAAGUGCGUGGGCAUGCUGUAACUGGAUUGGACAUGUGCUUUGAGGCUGGCACAUAUUGGAUACCAAUAUCAAUGGAAAUGGGUGAAUGUGGCCUGUGCUCAUGGAGUGUGCCUGAGAUAUUGGUGCCCAGUGUCCAACGUGGAGAUUGACCGGAGCAAGCGGUGAGAUAAAGUUGCUACAUACUGAUAAUACAGUGUGAAGCUGAAGGAACACGGCACGCCAGGCAGCAUCUGAGGAGCAGGAAAGUUGACGUUUCGGAUCGGGACCCUUCCAGCGUUUAGCUUGUAUGAUCGUGACACACAAUGUAUUUUGCAUCAUCAUCUUUUACACUUGAGAUUCAAAAUCUCAAAAGCAAAUCUUGUACAUCCCAAAAACACAAGUGAGGCAAAUUUGGUUAAUUGGUAAUAUUUGCCAUAACUUUCAAACUUGAAAUA